AAGAAGUGAAAAGUUUUCCUUUUCCUCAUUGAAUUGAACGAGAACAUGUCUUCCUGUUUCCCCGUAGCCAGAUGUUUGUGCUCUGUGCACCAGUGCGCACUGUGUCAAGUGGCUGCGGAGGCGGGUGCACAUUGGAGAACACCCAAACGGAUGAAACGGACCAAAACGGACGUGCUGCUUCACAGAGACAAACGCAGUAGAUUCAGCCGGGUCGAAAAGCAGAGGACACGAGCCACAGGCCACACUUCACAGGCUCUGUUUAAUGUGGUCAUGGAGGAGCAAAGCAGUUGCCAUCGCGUUGCCUUCCAGGGAAAUAUCAGCGCUCUGCAACUCUCAGCUCAGCGGAGGGAUUAGCCCGGCCUUGGAUUUAAAAGGGGUGGGGGCGCGUUUUUACCCUACAGGGGGUGGCAUGUUUCUAUUUAUGGCGCGAGCUGCAUGAACUCAAGAUUGGUGUCUGCAGGCGUCCGCUGGAGAGUCUCGGGCCCCUAUUUUUGACAACAAAAAAAAAUCAAAAUGCCGCGGUUAAAAAACGUGCAUCAGCACAAAAUGAGCCACUCGCAGGUUUUCUGACGUCGCUGACGUGCGUUUGUUUCAUCCACCCAGCGUCAUGAAAGAAAACCCUUUUCUAGUUAAGCUCUUCUGAGAUCAUCGGCUCCCCGGGGCCCCGAUGAGACUUCCACCAAUCGUGCCACAGAGAAGUGGCGAUUGCCCAAUUACACCCCAGCUGUCCACGCGGGGAGGGGGGGGGGGGGGGGUGAUGGAGGCAGCAAGAGAGGAUACAAAUGACAGUGACAGAAAUCUGAGCGGAGCGGUUUUGACAGGAAUGGCAUAUUGCUCACUUUCUUUGACUUAUUAAGGAGGAGUGUGUAACACUCGGUGGCAUUUAGUGGCGAUGUCGUUCCCCCCUUUUCAAACGUGCCAAACGUGGGUUUGAAUAUUAUAUUCCAUUUCCGCCAAUGAAUCUCCUUCUUAAUGCUCCUUUAACGGGUGCGGGGCCCUUUCCCGGGUCCCUAGCCAGACACCUGCCAAGACACGGUGAGAUACUCCCGGAGCAAAGCGCUCCUCCACUCAAUAAAUAAAUCCUAAUAAAAUGCAGAUCCAUAUUUAACCGUCUCUUUGUGAAUCAUUGAAAACCAUAAUUAGCCAGUUGAGGCCGUGUUGCUUUUAGACUUGGAGAUGUCUUUUUAUUUGUUUUAAUUUUAUUUCCCCGGCUGAGAUUUGGUCCAAAGAGCAGCAGUACAUCAGAGAUCAAAGAGAUGAGAGAUGCAA
ensembl:lncRNA